rnacentral:rRNA from 1 species
GACGGAGGAUGCAAGCGUUAUCCGGAAUUAUUGGGCGUAAAGCGUCCGCAGGUGGCUGUUCAAGUCUGCUGCCAAAGCGCAGAGCUUAACUCUGUACAGGCGGUGGAAACUGAAGAGCUAGAGUAUGGUAGGGGUAGAGGGAAUUCCCGGUGUAGCGGUGAAAUGCGUAGAUAUCGGGAAGAACACCAGUGGCGAAAGCGCUCUACUGGGCCAUAACUGACACUGAGGGACGAAAGCUAGGGGAGCGAAAGGG